ACUUCAUCCAAACAGUCCCUUAUGGCCGCGUACUGUAUAGCCUUCAACCCCUUGAAUUUGGUCAGCCUCUUCAUAAACGUUUGGGCAGAUUUGGUUCUGGUCAGGCUCACUUCCAAGGCGGUUUGGGCCAGUUGUUGUGGGCUUUGCCGAAUGGUUUUGGUGUAGACGGAGAGAGAUUGUACGCACACCGCAGGAUAGGUUGCGACACUGCAGGAGGACUCGAUGAAAUUAGUUGACGGCACGACGGAAGACUCCGCCGGACCGGAUAGAGAUAGGAUCAGGGGUAUGAUUGGAAGAAGAAGAAGGGUAGAUGUUGUUACUGCCAUUGUUUUGCAAUUUGGAUGAGAAGAGAGAGGGAGAGAAAUAAGUGCAGCUAGCUAAUUAAUA
rnacentral:lncRNA from 1 species